rnacentral:rRNA from 1 species
UACGUAGGGUGCAAGCGUUGUCCGGAAUUAUUGGGCGUAAAGAGCUCGUAGGCGGUCAGUCGCGUCUGCUGUGAAAAUCCGGGGCUCAACCCCGGACUUGCAGUGGGUACGGGCAGACUAGAGUGUGGUAGGGGAGACUGGAAUUCCUGGUGUAGCGGUGAAAUGCGCAGAUAUCAGGAGGAACACCGAUGGCGAAGGCAGGUCUCUGGGCCACUACUGACGCUGAGAAGCGAAAGCAUGGGGAGCGAACAGG